rnacentral:lncRNA from 1 species
UUGCUGCCUGCGCUUCCUCUCUAAACGAGUCCUCUCCAGCACCUGAACAUAAGAUGGAAACGUGGAUUCCAAUACACGGCACCGGGAAUAGACACGGAGAGCAUCUGUUGGUGCCAUCACCGUACCCAACCAAUAAGCACCAGGGAAAGUAUGAUAAAAGUGAGGAAACCCGUGCAAUUUCAUACUACCAUAUCCCAGGAAGUAGCUACAAAUUUCCAUAGCAUGCUUUGCAAGAAAAGAAGGAAACGGGUGCUCUUCUUAUGUCUUCCGAGUAUUACUAUAUUUCACAUCAAGGUAUUUGUGGAGCACAGGAAGUGGCUUUGAAAUGGCCUGUGCAAACGUACUUGCUCUCUUGAUUCUUCCACUCGGCUUCUGCCGCGGAGAUCCACUUUCGGCUUCGAUGAAACCUGUCCAUCAAAGCUUCGGAACAUAGCUCUGUGACCUUGUGUGAUGAUGAUAUCACAGGUCUACGGAGCUCAAAGUAAGCCAAAUAUUACUUGCAGUAUGCAUUUUUUCCUUUUGUUCAGGCAGAGCGCGAAUACGUGAUUGAAUACACAGACAUCGUAUUAUAUCGAACACAAUGUGGCGAUCCUAAAUAUGUUUCUUUUGUUUGCUGCUGUCUAACAUUCUAAAAACACUUGGAUAAACGUGACUUGCAUUAUUCUGAUAAGAAACCUGAGUUCCAAUGGAAUUC